CGCCCAACUGCCGUGAGCCUGGAGCACAUCCCCAAAGUGCUGUCCCCAUCUGGCCGCAUAGACAGCGCGCCCCGAGACUUCACCGUCUACGGAAUGGAUGAUGAAAAGCAGGAGGAAGGGACUCUGCUGGGAAAAUUCACGUAUGAUCAAGAUGGCGACUCGAUACAGACAUUCACCUUACCGGGCCCGGCGCCAGAGGCCUACCCACUGGUGGAGCUGCGUGUCCUGAGCAACUGGGGGCACCCCGAGUACACCUGUGUCUACCGCUUCCGGGUUCACGGAGAGGCCCCCAGCGCGUGAGCCCGCCCCGGGGCCCGCAGAGCCUGGGACUGGGGGACUGGGGCGCACGGGGAGAGAGAGGAGAGGAGGAGCAGGGGUGGGGAGGGGUGGGGGGGUGUUACUGGGCACAGACAAAUUGCACUGAUACGUUAUGAGGAUUUGCUUUAAAAAAAAAAAGUUCUAUGCAUAAAUAAAAGUCUUUCUGAAGGCAG